rnacentral:rRNA from 1 species
GACAGAGGGUGCAAACGUUGUUCGGAAUUACUGGGCGUAAAGCGUGUGUAGGCGGCCACGUAAGUCGGAUGUGAAAGCCCCAGGCUCAACCUGGGAAGUGCAUUCGAUACUGCGUGGCUUGAGUAUCGGAGAGGUUGGUGGAAUUCUCGGUGUAGAGGUGAAAUUCGUAGAUAUCGAGAGGAACACCGGUGGCGAAGGCGGCCAACUGGACGAAUACUGACGCUGAGACACGAAAGCGUGGGGAGCAAACGGG